UAAAGGCAGGCAUGAGAGUGGAGGA
rnacentral:misc_RNA from 1 species